rnacentral:rRNA from 1 species
AAAACGACUCUCGGCAACGGAUAUCUCGGCUCUCGCAUCGAUGAAGAACGUAGCGAAAUGCGAUACUUGGUGUGAAUUGCAGAAUCCCGUGAACCAUCGAGUCUUUGAACGCAAGUUGCGCCCGAAGCCACUAGGCCGAGGGCACGCCUGCCUGGGCGUCACAU